UCAAGCAACUAAGCGCAUACGGUGGAUGCCUUGGCAGUCAGAGGCGAUGAAAGACGUGGAAGCCUGCGAUAAGGCUCGGGGAGCUGGCAAACAAGCUGUGAUCCGGGCAUUUCUGAAUGGGGAAACCCACCGACUUUCGGGUCGGUACCUUACACUGAAUCCAUAGGUGUAAGGGGCGAACCGGGGGAACUGAAACAUCUAAGUACCCGGAGGAAAGGACAUCAACCGAGACUCCGCUAGUAGUGGCGAGCGAACGCGGACCAGGCCAGUGGCAUCGACACGGGAACCGGAACCGUCUGGAAAGGCGGGCGAGAGUGGGUGACAGCCCCGUACGGAUCAAUCCUUGUCGGUGUCCUCGAGUAGGGCGGGGCACGUGAAACCCUGUCUGAACGUGGGGGGACCACCCUCCAAGCCUAAGUACUCCUUACCGACCGAUAGUGAACUAGUACCGUGAGGGAAAGAUGAAAAGUACCCCGAUGAGGGGAGUGAAACAGUACCUGAAACCGGAUGCUUACAAGCUGAGGGAGCUCUUCGGAGUGACCUCGUACCUUUUGUAUAAUGGGUCAACGACUUAGUGUUGCAUGCAAGCUUAAGCCGAUAGGUGUAGGCGUAGCGAAAGCGAGUCUGAAUAGGGCGACUGAGUAUGUAGCAUUAGACCCGAAGGCAAGUGAUCUAGGUAUGGGCAGGGUGAAGGUGCAGUAACAUGCACUGGAGGCCCGAACCGUUGAGCGUUGAAAAGCUCUCGGAUGACCUGUGCCUAGGGGUGAAAGGCCAAUCAAACUUGCUGAUAGCUGGUUCUCCGCGAAAUCUAUUUAGGUAGAGCGUCGAUCGAAUACUCUCGGGGGUAGAGCACUGACUGGGCUAGGGGUCCUCACCGGAUUACCAAACCUUAUCAAACUCCGAAUACCGAGAAGUACUAUCCGGCAGACACACAGUGGGUGCUAACGUCCAUUGUGGAGAGGGAAACAACCCUGACCACCAAUUAAGGUCCCCAAAUAAUGGCUAAGUGUGAAAGGAUGUGGGAUUGCUUUGACAAUGAGGAGGUUGGCUUAGAAGCAGCCAUCCUUUAAAGAAAGCGUAACAGCUCACUGGUCAAGCGCUCCUGCGCGGAAAAUGUAACGGGGCUUAAGUGAUACACCGAAGCUGUGGAUUCAAUCUUAUGAUUGAGUGGUAGCGGAGCGUUCCGU
rnacentral:rRNA from 1 species